rnacentral:tRNA from 1 species
UCCCUGGCAGUCCAGUGGUUAGGACUUGGUACUUUUACUGCCAGGGCCCGGGUUCAAUCCCUGGUCAGGGAA